GAUGAAGGGCGUGGCAAGCUACGAAAUGCUUUAGCGAGGUGCAUGCAACCUAUGAACUAAAGAUUCCUGAAUGAGACUUCUCAUUAAAUCCGAAAGGAUAAGGAACCUAGGGAAUUGAAGCGUCUUAGUACCUAGAGGAAAAGAAAUCAAUUGAGAUUCCGUGAUUAUCAGCGAGAGAAAACGGAAUAGGGCAAACUGAAUAUUUUACAGAAAUGUAAGAUAAAUGUGGUGUUACAAGACCUAAUUUUAUACCUUAAUCUGGUUUACUGAAAUUUCCUGGAAAGGAAUGCCAAAGAGAGUGAAAGCCUCGUAAGAAAAAACAGAAAGGAGUUUAGGUAUCUUGAGUAGUGUACAUUGGAAAUUGUGCACGAAAUUGGGAGACAUCAACUUCCAACCCUAAAUAUGUCUUGAAUCCGAUAGCGCACUAGUACCGUGAGGGAAAGUUGAAAAGUACCCGUAACAGGGUGUUAAAAGAACCUGAAAUCUAAUGGUUAUGGAAAGCUGCGGCAUUAAGGUGUUGCAGCAUGCGUUUCGAAUAACGCGCCAGGGAGUUUAGUAUAGUGGCAAGAAUAAGUUUUUAACAAAACGUAUUCGAAGGGAAACCAAAUUCUCGCAGCUUGCAAGGAGAAAGGUAUGAAAAUGCCUUAAGUCACUAAGCUAUAACCCGAAACCGGGCGAUCUAGUCGUGAGUAAGGUGAAGCCGAUCUAAUGAUUGGUGGAGGCCUGAAGAGGUGCUAUGGGCAUAUGUUCUUAUAACUUGCGACUAGGGGUGAAAAGCCAAUCGAGCCCGGUAAUAGCUGGUUCCUACCGAAAUAGGCCGAAGUCUAGUCUCGGCGGAGAUAGUUGAAGAGGUAGAGCUACGGAUUUGGAGGCUCGGGGGAGAAAUCCCUCACCUUCUUGUCCAACUCCAAAUUCUUCAACAUCGUAGAAGCUGGGAAACGGGGGUACUGGGGUAAGCCUGUAUUCCUAGAGGGGAACAACCCAGACUAUGGUUAAGGUCCCAAAAUUGCAAUUAAGUGUGAAAGGGUGAAAGGUGUUCAUCACCACAGACAGUGGGGAGGUUGGCUUAGAAGCAGCCAUCCUUUAAAGAUAGCGUAACAGCUCACCCAUCAAGGUGCUGUGCCCUGAAAAUGGACGGGACUAAAUUGCAUACCGAUACCAUAGCCCUCUAUACCUGAGUAUAGAGAGGAGUAGGUAGGUGUUCUGUUAGGGUAGAACUUAAUUCGUGAGAAUUAAGGGACCUGAUAGAAUUAAGAAUCCUGGCAGUAGUAGGAGCUAUCUACAGUGAGAAUCUGUAGGGCCGAAAGGGCGAGGGUUUCUCAGCAAUGUAAAUCAGCUGAGAGUUAGUUAGUCCUAACUGCAAUCCUAACAGGAAUUGCGGGAAAGGGAAAAAGGUUAAUAUUCCUUUACUACUUUGGUACACGUGGCAACACAAGCUCUUUUUCUAACACUUUCGGGUAAGCCUUGAGUCAUUAUCGUGGCUUUCAAAUAGAACAGUUCAUUGGAGUAGCGUAAUGCUGAGAAUUUGAACAAAUCUAUAAUGAAUAGACAUAAGUUUAUUUGGCUGAUCCCAAGAGUCCGUGAAAAGGGAAAAGAGAAGAAUCCGAAGUAUCUAUACCUAGAACCAGCACUGGUGUCCCAGGGUGAGAAGCCCAAGGCCUGAGAGGUUAACCUAGUUUAGGGAAUUCGACAGAUUAGCCCUGUGUCUUCGGUAUAAGGGGUCCCUGCGAUUGUGUUCGUAUGAAUGCGAUUACAGGGUGCAAUGACUAAGGGGAUCCGACUGUUUAACAAAAACCUAACGAACUGCAAGCCAGAAAUGGUGUGUAUAGUUCGUGACGUCUGCCCAGUGCCAGUACUUCAAACUCUGUUUCAACGGAGCUAAGAGCUGGUAAACGGCGGGAAUAACUAUAAUUCUCUUAAGGUAGCGAAAUGCCUUGUCGUUUAAUUGACGACCUGCAUGAAUGGCGUAACGAGAUCCCCAUUGUCCCAAACUAGAUCCUCCCGAACAUUCCUUUCUGGUGCAAAGGCCAGAGACUUCCAGUGGGAAGCGAAGACCCCAUGGAACUUUACUGUAGCUUAUUGUUGUGGUGUGAGCUUCAUUGUGCAGUGUAGGUGGUAGUUGUUAGGUCUUGGUCGCAAGGUCAAGAAUAGACUUCAAUGAGACACCACCCUUUGAAACUUACAUCGCUCACUUCCUUAGGGAAAGACAGCAGUAGGUAGACAGUUUGGCUGGGGCGGCACCCAGCUGAAAAGAUAUCAGUUGGGCCCAAAGGUAAGCUCACCAGGUUCAGAAAUCCUGGGUAGAGUGCAAGAGCAAAAGCUUGCCUGACUGUGUUUUGAAAAGCAAGAAACGCAGCAUCGAAAGAUUGGUCUAGCGAAACCUUGUGUCCCAAUUGAUGGGGGCCAGGUAUGACAGAAAAGCUAUCCUGGGGAUAACUGAGUCGUCGCGCCUAAGAGCUCAAAUCGACGGCGCGGUUUGCUACUUCGUUGUCGGCUCAUCGCAUCCUGGGCGUGCAGAAGCGCCCAAGGGUACGGGUGUUCACCGGUUAAAGCGGUUCGUGAGCUGGGUUAAGAACGUUGCGAGACAGUUUGUAUGAUAUCUAUUGGAAGUGUUUAAGUCUGAGAGGAAGGACCAUUUAGUACGAGAGGAACGGUGGUUCGGUGCCUCUGGUGUAUCUGUUAUCUGAUAAGGUACGCAGAGCAGCUACGCACCACAUCAUAAGUGCUGAAAGCAUCUAAGCACGAAGGAUACCUCGAAAAGAGACUGAGAACAGUUGCAAAAGACAACUUUGAUAGGGAUGGAGUGUAAGU
rnacentral:rRNA from 1 species